rnacentral:rRNA from 1 species
AGUGAACGCUGGCGGCAUGCCUAACACAUGCCAGUCGAACGGCAGCACAGUAAGAGCUUGCUCUUACGGGUUGCGAGUGGCGGACGGGUGAGGAAUAUAUCGGAAUCUACUUUUUCGUGGGGGAUAACGUAGGUAAACUUACGCUAAUACCGCAUACGACGUACGGGUGAAAGCAGUGGAUCUUCGGACCUUUCGCGAUUGAAUGAGCCGAUGUCGGAUUAGCUAGUUGGCGGGGUAAAGGCCCACCAAGGCGACGAUCCGUAGCUGGUCUGAGAGGAUGAUCAGCCACACUGGAACUGAGACACGGUCCAGACUCCUACGGGAGGCAGCAGUGGGGAAUAUUGGACAAUGGGCGCAAGCCUGAUCCAGCCAUACCGCGUGGGUGAAGAAGGCCUUCGGGUUGUAAAGCCCUUUUGUUGGGAAAGAAAAGCAGCAGGUUAAUACCCCGCUGUUCUGACGGUACCCAAAGAAUAAGCACCGGCUAACUUCGUG